UCGUAGUUUUAAUUAGUUAGACUGUCUUACAAAAACAUCAAUAAGCCAAUGACAGAGUUUUCCAGACAGCCCUUUAUUUAUUACAUGUAAAAUUAAAAACAAUAUGAACAUAACCAGGAUGAGUUCUAAUUCAAACAAACUUUUCAAGUCACAUUUUUGUUAUCUGGUUCUGUGUUACUGUCAUUGGCUUGAGGUAGAGUUGAAAAAGUCAACAUGGGACAGUCUUGAAAGUUACAUCUUUUUAUUUAAAUAUAACAAUAAGUUUCACAAGAGUAAAUUUGUUGCAGUUUUAUUUUGAAAUAAUUGUUUCGAAUUUAACAUCUUUCUGUAAUGAGCCCUUACGCUAAAGUUCAACUUUAACAUCUUUCUGUAAUGAACACAUAAGCAAAAUUCAAGACAAUAUUACAUUUGAUAAUUGUUUCUGAAAAGACAUUGAAUAAACUACGGGACACUUUGAGUUUAGUACUUAUAGAAUGUCCUUUAAAAAUAUUUUUGACUCUUGUACUGCCAUUUCUGUGCAUAUAUCAGCCUCUGACUUGAAAAUAUUUAUCAAAUUUACUGUAAAGCUGAAAAUUGAAAAAAAAAAAUUCUUGAAAUUGCUUGACUUCAUUUUUUUAAAAUUUACAGCCACAAAAAUUCCUAUCCCCACUACUUCUCAAAGCUAAGACUUUUCAAAGGUAAAACUUUUCAAAGGUAAAACUAUCUGGCCCACUACUUCUCAAAGCUAAAACUAUCUGGCCCACUACUUUUCAAAGCUAAAACUAUCUGGCUGUCUAGUUCAAUCUAGUGCUUACAAACUUGAUAGGGAAGGGGAAUCAUUGAACAAAAUUGAAAUGAACUUGUAGGAACAGUAAGUGUUGUAAAGAAAUAGCACUUAUAAGACACUCAUCAACAAACAGUAUCCCCUACAAGACAUUCAAUACAUUUCAUAGUAGACUCAAUUAUAUAGUCAUACUCCAUGAUCCAAUUCAUUCCAAUCUGCCACGUAAACCAACGAAUGCACACAUUGCUCAUAACAAAACCCUGUCUUUGAAAUUGUGAAGAACAACCUUUGGUCAGUGUCCUGGUCAAGAACUGUUUUAGGAAAUGAAAACAUUUUCAUAAUUUUUUUAAAAUGCCACAAUCCACCAUGAGUGAUUGAGACCCUCAAAAACACUUUUAUAAAGUAAACAAAAACAUUCAAUGUGUAUUAAUAAUAAUGUAAAAUAUUUUUAAAACUUAUCAUAAGAUCAUGACUGUAUAUAUAAAUGGUGAACUAAUGGAUUAUAAUGCUUAAAAUGGAUUAAGUGUUAAUCAUGUUUUAUACAUCCAGCAAAUAUUAACUUUAUAUUUGGUGUCAACAACAUAACAACAAUAUGUUUCUUAGUUGUUUUGCAAAAAAAUAUUUUUAGACGUAAUGCUAAUUAUUGGUUCAGCAAUACUUUUGGUUGCAUUAAUGCAAAUAACAACAAGGCUUAACCAUUUUAAAAAAAAACUUUUUUUCUUGAAGGAAUGUCUGUAGAUUAAAAAAAUAAAAUUGUAAAAACCACGAAACAAAAUGUUAUGUACUCAUAGCAAUGCAAAUGAUGAACUUUGGACCAAGCCCAACUGUUUCCUUCCCCCCC